rnacentral:rRNA from 1 species
GACAGAGGCCCCGAGCGUUAGGCGGAAUCACUGGGCUUAAAGCGCGUGUAGGCGGCCCGAUAAGUCCGCUGUGAAAGUCCAGGGCUCAACCCUGGGAUGCCGGUGGAUACUGUCGGGCUCGAGUCCGGAAGAGGCGAGUGGAAUUCCUGGUGUAGCGGUGAAAUGCGCAGAUAUCAGGAGGAACACCAAUGGCGAAGGCAGCUCGCUGGGACGUGACUGACGCUGAGACGCGAAAGCGUGGGGAGCAAACAGG